rnacentral:lncRNA from 1 species
AGCGCCCCUUCUUUCAAAGAGAGAGGACGGGUUAUUCACAUUUCAUUUGAUGGUCAGAGGCGAAUUGAAAGUUAAGCAGUGGGAACUCUAAAGAUUCCCCGGGGGAAAAAUAGAGAUGUCUCCUACGUUACCCAUAAUAUGUGAAGUAUCGACGUAAUUUCAUAGUCAUUCGGUCUGAAUGCUACAUGAAGAACAUAAGCCAGAUGACGGAACGGGAAGACC